ensembl:lncRNA
CUCAAAAUGAUUAAGUUUUCCAAAGGGACCGUUUUCUGAUCUUGGCUGGUGAAUUUAGUUUUUCUGUCCUGGCUCAGGAAGGGAAGUCUACACAAUGUGUAAGGGUUCCUCAGAUCAGGAGGUAUCCUCAGCCUCAAUGCACCCAUCUUGUGACUGCAGACCAUGGAGCUCUGUCUGACCCUGGACUGCAGCUCCUCUGCCUUCACUGUUCCUAUCACCAUGACGGCCAUAAAGUCCACAUAUUUUAUGUAGGUAUAUGUGGGCAAUAAGUAGACAGAAAUCAUAGAAACAGAGAAUAUCCUGAGUUGGAGGGGGCCCAUGAGGAUCAUCAAGUCCAACUCCUGACUCCACAAAGGACCGUCCAAAAAUCAGACCACAUGCCUGAUGGGAUGAAGACAGUCAUUGGCAGACACCUGCUCUUUGCCACUGCUGGAAGGAAGAGACAUGGAUCAAUGGACUUUUAAUUUGACUUGCUACAGCAGUUCUUAAUUUCAUUUGUAUUAUUCAAAUACAUAAGGCCCAAAUUCUGAACAGAGCCCAGACUUUACAGCCAGUCACAAAUGUUGAUCCAUUUGACCCAAUUGAAAUAUACUGUUCUUCAAACCUUCAGGUAUCUGUUUAUGCUGGAGUCAUGAGGUCAGACAAAGGCAGCAGAUAUCUCAGAAAGCUUUACUCUUUCUUUCUCCACUGACCUUUGUCUGAAAAAAACUAGUUUGGCAUAACAAAGAUUGAUAUGUUGCCUACGGAAAUUUGGAUAGAAAUCAGCUUGGCUAAUAUUAGCUGCUCAAGGUUAGGUGUGCAGCCUGAAGUCCUCAUUUAGCCUCCCUCUGUGGCCAGGAAUGAGAGACAGGUUCCUUCACUCUAGGGCACGCCAUUCAUCCUAUCCACUGACUUAUGAAGAGAGCAAGAGUAACUCAGACUAGAUGGUUAUAUGCAGUUCUUCCUCUCUGUUGCUCCUUCAUUUGGUUUCCUUCCUUUAUAGGAAGUUUGCUUACCACCUGCUAUGUGUGCAUAUCUGUGUGUCUUGAGUGGAUUGAAUUAUCCAGUAUUAGCAUCACACACAAAACCCCACUCAUGACAUAAUGAAAUUUUCCCAUGCAAACCUACAGCAAGAGAUCACAGAGCACUCUGCAUGCCUUUGAGCCAUUUUUUUGCAAAUGGUUACAGGAUGAUCAAUUAGUUUAUUUCACCAAAAGGAGUGCAGAAGAUAUGUAUCCCAUAGUGCUAAUUCUUUUCUAUGAAAAGAGGUGUGUUGUGGGGGUGGAGGGGUGAGUCUGCCAGCUCAGACUUUCUUUCAUUCUUUAGAUGAAGAUGUCAUGUAAAUCUCAAAGUGUCACUCUUUCCAACAAUAUCAUCAAUACAGUCAGAAAAUAGGAUAGUUACUUAUCCUUCAGCACGGUUCAGUUUGCACUGCUUGUCUUUGUCCAGCACAUACUGGCUGAAGUUUGCAUCCUAUGCAACAUCAGGCACAUAGCCCCCGAUUACAAGAUAGUGCAUUGCUUGGUAUGUUGAUGUGCAAAUAGAAGCAGCAGCAUCUCAGGUGUUCACUCUGUUUAUUCCCAAACACAAAAGCACUGACUAGGGUUAAAGGACCUGUCAGAUGAAACAGAGGAAUUCAAUUUGUAACAAAAGAAUGUCUUCAGGCAGUUGUUUAGAAAUAUCACCAAGAUACUACAGAUUCCCUUUAUCCUCUGCUGCAAAUGGCAAAGGAAAUUAACUGGCUAAAGACCCAUUGGUGAGCUGAUUACCUAACCCUCAGUAAGUGAAUAUUGAAGUUGCUGAUGUUGCCAAGCAACUGCCUGGGGUUGGCAGCGGCCAGAGCAUACACGAGCACUCACUUGAAGGAGUAUUUUGCAACAAAGGGCAGCUCGAUUUACCACCAUGCACUACCAUGCACAGUUAGCAGGACAGCCAGGUCUGGCCCUGAGGUGCAAGUAGCUCUAUUUUGGUUGUGAGAGAUAUUUGAGAGCCAUUGGAGGUCAGCUGGAGAGAGAUGGAGUAGCAAUUCUCCAAUCAGCACAGUGAGCUUAAAAGGAAAGAUUUUUGCAUCCAAAUAUGGCCUGAAUUUUAAAGUAUCAUAAAUGCAGGACUGAGUUCAGUAGUUUUUCUUAGUGCUGGUAGAUGAAUGAGAAGAUUUAUCAUGCAUAGGACAGAUCUCUGUCACUGAGUUCAAGUGGCAUGAGAUGGUAUGUGUCCUUACACACACCUCUUAUCCUCCAGAGUUGGGUACUUGCCAGUAGGCAAACUGAACUGGGAAGGACUCCUGACUCCUGACAGCUCAUGAGCCUUGGUCAAGAGCCUUUUGGGAGACUGCUGGGCAGCCUUGGCCAGGAACAGAUAGGGCUGUUCAGGAGUUACGCAACUUAUGCCUAGUGCCCAGGAAUGCUCCCUAGCAUGUAUAUUAGUAUAGAAAUAGCUCCUGAUACCACUUCCUCUGUAUUUCUAGACUAGUUUUGCAUUUGUAGAGUGGUGGAGGCCCAAUUCUGCAUGUGUUCUUCUCAGGUGACCACUAGAUCCCAUUUGGCCUGAAGUUGUCACCAUCUUCAGAUAACUGAUACAACACAGCAAUAUUGUGUUACUCCAGCAUAAAGACUGCGAGGCUAAGCGGAGUCUUCCAAUGCACCCUUGCUCUGAAUGCAAGUCUCGGGUACUUGUGAACCUCUCUCUGGCAAUAAUGAACCAUAUGACAUUGGGAAAGUUAUUUAAUCUCUCUGCUUAGUCUUCUCAUCCCAAAUGGAUGCCUCAUCGGCAUGCUUUCAGGAUUCAUUAUUUAACAGAUAGCACUGCUAUUUAAUCUUUAUGUUAUAGUAGCAUCUGGAGGUCUCAGCUGAGAGGCAAUAUAUAAAUACUAUGUGAAAGACAAUUUCUUCACAAAGACCUGCCAUUGUAAGCAGAAAAGCAGCACUGCAGGCUGAUUUGCUUUAAAUCACGCAGGUGAGUAGUAUCAAAGCAGCAUCUCCCACCUAACUUGUGACUGCUGAAAUAAUAGAAUUGAUACACUCUUUACAUAUAUGAAGAAUAGUAUGUACCAUAGGAUAAUGUGUACUUUAGGAAAUAAGAGUUUUCCUGAGGAUAGACAGAGAUAAAAAUACAGCUUAAAGCCGAUAUAUGUUUGUAAGACAUCAGUGAAUACCUCUUAAAACUGUUUCUUAAAGAGGCCUACUUCAUGAAAAUGUGAUUUGAAGUGAAACCGAUUAUGUAGAUUUCAUAUCAGUUCUGCAUACUGAUGUUCCUCAGUGACGUAGGAUAUAUUACCUUUUCAAGAUAUUUUUCCACUAAAAAUGUAAGAUCUGUUGAAACUGUUUUGUAAGUUGAGGUCUGGUUUUUUUUCUGUGAGGUAUAUAUCAGGAAAUGCUUUAGAAAAAACAAAACCUAAACAAUCAAUACAUUUGACCAAUCAAACAUUUCAAUUUUUCUUUCAAAACACUUUUUAAGAAUGGUUUAAAAAGCUCAGAAUGGUUAUUGAAUUUUGUUUUAAGUUGACUAAAACAUAUGAGGUUACAUGUUUUAUGUUGAACAUAAAAUAUUUUUUUCUUUUCUGAAAAUAAUUUGAGACUGACCAGAAAUAUGCUGCAUUUUGAACUACAGCACUGACCUAAAUGUAUUUUAUAGGAUAUUCUUUUCAAAUUUACUUCUUCAGGCAGACUCUGAGUCCUGCGUUCAUGUUUAUCAUUGAUUGUUAAUGACUGUCUGAAUACUUUAUGAUCUCAAUUCAUAAAUAUGUCGCUAGUAAGGAGAGAAAAUGUCUGGAGUAGGAUGCAUGUUCUUAAAAGUUUUCCCAUGCUGGUCCCAGUCCAAACAAGAUAUUGUCCUUUUUCAUUAUAUUUUAUAUAUCUAAUUAAAUUCUAAUUCACAUAAUCACUGUAGACUGCAUUUCUCCUCCUUUGUUUUGUCAG